rnacentral:tRNA from 1 species
GGCUCUAUAACUCAGUCAGUUGGAGCGUCGUACCAGUAACACGAAUGUCGAGGGUUCGAUCCCCUACGGAGCCA